UGGGGGAUAUUGCACAAUGGGCGAAAGCCUGAUGCAGCGACGCCGCGUGGGGGAUGAAGGCUUUCGGGUUGUAAACCUCUUUCGCUAUCGAACAAGGCCCGCUUAGGGUGGGUUGAGGGUAGGUGGAGAAGAAGCGCCGGCUAACUACGUGCCAGCAGCCGCGGUAAUACGUAGGGCGCGAGCGUUGUCCGGAAUUAUUGGGCGUAAAGGGCUAGUAGGCGGCUUGUUGCGCCUGCUGUGAAAACGCGGGGCUUAACUUCGCGCGUGCAGUGGGUACGGGCAGGCUUGAGUGUGGUAGGGGUGACUGGAAUUCCAGGUGUAGCGGUGGAAUGCGCAGAUAUCUGGAGGAACACCGAUGGCGAAGGCAGGUCACUGGGCCAUUACUGACGCUGAGGAGCGAAAGCAUGGGUAGCGAACAGG
rnacentral:rRNA from 1 species